rnacentral:rRNA from 1 species
CGCUGAACUUAAGCAUAUUAAUAAGCGGAGGAAAAGAAACUAACAAGGAUUCCCCUAGUAACGGCGAGUGAAGCGGGAAGAGCUCAAGCUUAAAAUCUCCGUGCAAGUUUUGUGCGGCGAAUUGUAGUCUAUAGAAGCGUGGUCAGCAUGGGCACUUGGGGCAAGUUCCUUGGAAGAGGACAGCAUGGAGGGUGAUACUCCCGUUCAUUUCUGAGUUGCUCGUGCGUACGACCCGUUUUCUUUGAGUCGCGUUGUUUGGGAAUGCAGCGCAAAGUAGGUGGUAAAUUCCAUCUAAAGCUAAAUAUUGGUGCGAGACCGAUAGCGAACAAGUACCGUGAGGGAAAGAUGAAAAGAACUUUGAAAAGAGAGUUAAAGAGUACCUGAAACUGCUGAAAGGGAACCGAAUCGUUUCCAGUGUCUAUAAUCCGUGGUAUAUUUCAUUGGCGAGUGUGUGCGUGCGUGUGCUGUGGCAGCGGCUUUUUUGGCUGCGCUCGGCGUGUGUGCUGUGUGUGCUUGCUGGUGCUCUGUGCUGCGGUGGGACGUCAAGGUCAGUUCGUAUGCUGCGGGAAAUGGCUGCCGAGGAGGUAGGGCUUACGCUUGCGUUUGUCUGUUAUAUCUUGGUGGACGAGUAGUCGCGGUUGGGACUGAGGUGCCUACAACGUGCUUUUGAGUGGGUUUGUGUCUCCGUGUGCGCCGUGUGCGGAUAGCUUGCUAUGCGUGUGUGGUUGUGUGUGGAUUGAUGCGAGCUUUAACUUGUUGCCGUUCGGGACGUUGACGAAAUGGAGCGAUUCGACCCGUCUUGAAACACGGACCAAGGAGUCUAACAUGUGUGCAAGUGUUAGGGUGUGGAAACCCCAGCGCGAAAUGAAAGUGAAGGGCAGCGUAAGUUGUCUGAGGUAGGAAAUGCUGCGGGCUUCGGUCUGCGGUGUGGCACUAUCGACCGAUCAUGAACCUUCGUGGUGAAAGAUUUGAGUUUGAGCACAUAUGUUGGUACCCGAAAGAUGGUGAACUAUGCCUGAGUAGGGUGAAGCCAGGGGAAACUCUGGUGGAAGCUCGUAGCGAUUCUGACGUGCAAAUCGAUCGUCAAACUUGGGUAUAGGGGCGAAAGACUAAUCGAACCAUCUAGUAGCUGGUUCCCUCCGAAAUUUCCCUCAGGAUAGCAGCAACUUAUUUACGAUAGUUUUAUGAGGUAAAGCGAAUGAUUAGAGGAUUCGGGGAAGAAACUUCCUCGACCUAUUCUCAAACUUUAAAUCUGUAAGACCUGCAGGUUUCUUAAUUGAACUUGUGGAUGUGAAUAUCAAGUUGCUAGUGGGCCAUACGGGGUAAGCUCGUCUGGCG